CAACAGGGAUUACCUCAGUAACGGCGAGUGAAGCGGUAACAGCUCAAAUUUGAAAUCUGCCGCAAGGCCGAGUUGUAAUUUGUAGAAGAUGCUUUGGGUAUGGCCCCGGUCUAAGUUCGUUGGAACACGACGUCAUAGAGGGUGAGAAUCCCGUAUGUGACUGGGUGCUUUUGCCUAUGUAAAGCUCUUUCGACGAGUCGAGUUGUUUGGGAAUGCAGCUCAAAAUGGGUGGUAUAUUUCAUCUAAAGCUAAAUAUUGGCCAGAGACCGAUAGCGCACAAGUAGAGUGAUCGAAAGAUGAAAAGCACUUUGGAAAGAGAGUUAAACAGUACGUGAAAUUGUUGAAAGGGAAGCGCUUGCAACCAGACUUGCACGCUGUCGAUCAUCCAGGCUUCUGUUUGGUGUACUCGAUUGCGUUCAGGCCAGCAUCGGUUUUGGUGGUGGGAUAAAGGCCUUGGGAAUGUAGCUUCUUUCGGGGAGUGUUAUAGCCCUCGGUGCAAUGCCGCCUACCGGGACCGAGGACCGCGCUUCGGCUAGGAUGCUGGCGUAAUGGUUGUAAGCGACCCGUCUUGAAACACGGACCAAGGAGUCUAACAUCUAUGCGAGUGUUUGGGUGUCAAACCCAUACGCGUAAUUAACGUGAACGGAGGUGAGAACCCUUAAGGGUGCAUCAUCGACCGAUCCUGAUGUCUUCGGAUGGAUUUGAGUAAGAGCAUAGCUGUUGGGACCCGAAAGAUGGUGAACUAUGCCUGAAUAGGGUGAAGCCAGAGGAAACUCUGGUGGAGGCUCGCAGCGGUUCUGACGUGCAAAUCGAUCGUCAAAUUUGGGUAUAGGGGCGAAAGACUAAUCGAACCAUCUA
rnacentral:rRNA from 1 species